rnacentral:rRNA from 1 species
UACAGAGGGUGCGAGCGUUAAUCGGAAUUACUGGGCGUAAAGCGCGCGUAGGCGGCUUUGCAAGUCGGGUGUGAAAUCCCCAGGCUUAACCUGGGAACUGCAUUCGAGACUGCAUUGCUAGAGUAUGGGAGAGGGAAGUGGAAUUUCAGGUGUAGCGGUGAAAUGCGCAGAUAUCGGGAAGAACACCCGUGGCGAAGGCGGUUCUCUGGGACGGUACUGACGCUGAGACGCGAAAGCGUGGGGAGCGAACAGG